CACUCCUACGGGAGGCAGCAGUGGGGAAUUUUGGACAGUGGGCGAAAGCCUGAUCCAGCAAUGCCGCGUGAGUGAAGAAGGCCUUCGGGUUGUAAAGCUCUUUUGUCAGGGAAGAAACGGUGAAAGCUAAUAUCUUUUGCUAAUGACGGUACCUGAAGAAUAAGCACCGGCUAACUACGUGCCAGCAGCCGCGGUAAUACGUAGGGUGCAAGCGUUAAUCGGAAUUACUGGGCGUAAAGCGUGCGCAGGCGGUUUUGUAAGUCUGAUGUGAAAUCCCCGGGCUCAACCUGGGAAUUGCAUUGGAGACUGCAAGGCUAGAAUCUGGCAGAGGGGGGUAGAAUUCCACGUGUAGCAGUGAAAUGCGUAGAUAUGUGGAGGAACACCGAUGGCGAAGGCAGCCCCCUGGGUCAAGAUUGACGCUCAUGCACGAAAGCGUGGGGAGCAAACAGGAUUAGAUACCCCGGUAGUCCCAUGAU
rnacentral:rRNA from 1 species